UCUAGAACACCUAGCGCUUAGCUCAAGCAGUAGAGAGGAUGUCGCUCGCAUCAUCAACUCGUGGGUUCGAAUCCCAGGAAAAUUAAAUUUAUCUACUAGUUACAUCGUCACUUUGGAUAGACGUGACUAGCCUUUGUAAACGUAUUAAUGUUAAUGACUUACCUUGUUUGGCUCUUGGAAAGCAGAUGAGAAAAACAGCUGUCAGGUGUUCCAGUUGGAGAUCAAGUCGGGGACCCUGAAACCUAAAGCUUGCUUGGGCUUAUACUUAAAAGAGGACAUUGUCAGUACGUUAAUACUUGAACUUUCACUUCAAAUAUUCACUUAGCUCAAGUAUAGAGCUGCCAUCGCAAACCUGUGGGGUGCGAACCUAGAGAAGUGAACGGAUAAAAGUGACUACGACUACGGGAUAAUCGGGUAAAAGUGGCUCCGAGUAAGGGAUAAAAGUGAAACAAGACUGGAUAAAAGUGACUGCGAGUCCGAGGUAAAUGGAUAAAGGAGGCUGCGAGUCCGGGACCAAAGUGAAACAUGACUGGAUAAAAGUGGCUACGGGAUAAUCGGGUAAAAGUGGCUCCGAGUACGGGAACAAAGUGAAACAUGACUGGAUACAAGUGGCUGCGAGUCCGAGGUAAAUGGAUAAAGGAGGCUGCGAGUCCGGGACCAAAGUGAAACAUGACUGGAUAAAAGUGGCUACGGGAUAAUCGGGUAAAAGUGGCUCCGAGUAUGGGGUAAAAGUGAAACAUGACUGGAUACAAGUGGUUGCGAGUCCGAGGUAAAUGGAUAAAGGAGGCUGCGAGUACGGGACCAAAGUGAAACACUGGAUAAAAGUGACUGCGAGUCCAGGAUAAAUGGAUAAAGGAGGCUGCGAGUACGGGACCAAAGUGAAACAUGACUGGAUAAAAGUGGCUACGGGAUAAUCGGGUAAAAGUGGCUCCGAGUAUGGGGUAAAAGUGAAACAUGACUGGAUACAAGUGGCUACGGGAUAAUCGGGUAAAAGUGGCUCCGAGUAUGGGGUAAAAGUGAAACAUGACUGGAUACAAGUGGCUACGGGAUAAUCGGGUAAAAGUGGCUCCGAGUAUGGGGUAAAAGUGAAACAUGACUGGAUAAAGUGGCUACGGGAUAAUCGGGUAAAAGUGGCUCCGAGUAUGGGGUAAAAGUGAAACAUGACUGGAUACAAGUGGCUGCGAGUCCGGGAUAAAUGGAUAAAGGAGGCUAGGUGUUUAAGUUGACACUGAACAAAAACUAUGCCGUUUUGAGCGAGAAGCAAUUUAUUGCAGAUCUUCAGAUGUGCAGCAGGUGUGUCUGAGCCAGCUGUUUUCUUGGAGGAUUGGUAAGUAGAGGAGAUGGGUGAAAGUAUGGUUGCAGCCGGAGAGGACGGCGUAACAGAGCUUCUGUUCUCAUGGUGAGGCGUUAUAUGUGACACACACA